UGAACGGACAGCCUCCUCAGAGACAGGCUUAAUGAGAAGAAGAACGCGAGGACUGCAGGAAGAAAAAAAAAAAGGCCUGGGUGAGAGACAGGAAGAAACAAAGACAACUGAUUUUAUGCCUACGGAACUUCUCUCAAGUAGACCAAGAUAAUCAUCUGUCAAGUGCUCAAAAAUCUCAAAUUGAAAAAGCUUCUCACGAGGUAGAACUUUAGAGCCUGGUGUGUUUGUGGCUGGAACAUAGCAGCUCUUCUACAACUUUGCUGUAGUUUCUACUGAAUAUUUUGGUUUGCAAAUAUAAAGGAUUCUCUGAAGCACAACCUUAAACAAAGUGUGGUAGACAGCUGGGAUAGGAAAACUGCAGACAGAAAAAUGUGGCCGGAUGCUCUGGGGGCGGGCAGCAGCGAUGUUCAGCCAGGUGGCUCCAAAGAGAGGAAGCGGUGACGCAUUGAGACAGAGUCUCGCUUUGUCGCCCAAGCUGGAGUGCAGUGGCACACGAUCUCAGCUGACUGCAACCUCUGCCUCCUGGGUUCAAGUGAUUCUCCUGCCUCAGCCUACCAAGUUGCUGGGAUCAUAGGAAGCUGCCAACAUGCCUGACUAAUUUUUGUACUUUUAGUAGAGACGGCGUUUCACCAUGUUGGCCAGGCUGGUCUUGAACUCGUGACCUCAAAUGAUCCACCCGCCUUGGACUCCCAAAGUGCUAGGAUUACAGACAUGAGCCACUGCACCUGGUGUGAAAAUCUUUAGUAUGUUCAAAACAACUUAGGAAUGUGAAUCUGCUUUUUGCAACAGUAAAUUUUGUGAAAUCUAAAUACAGAUUAAGUGUUUCCGAUGAAAAUUUGGCAUACAAAUUGGGACAUGCUGUAAGUAUAAAAUACACACCAAAUUUAAGACAAUAUUUUAAAAGGAAGUAAAAUAAUUUUUAUUUUACUAUAAAUAUUAUUU